rnacentral:rRNA from 1 species
AGUUUGAUCCUGGCUCAGAACGAACGCUGGCGGCAGGCUUAACACAUGCAAGUCGAACGCCCCGCAAGGGGAGUGGCAGACGGGUGAGUAACGCGUGGGAACAUACCCUUUUCUACGGAAUAGCUCUGGGAAACUGGAAUUAAUACCGUAUACGCCCUACGGGGGAAAGAUUUAUCGGGGAAGGAUUGGCCCGCGUUGGAUUAGCUAGUUGGUGGGGUAAAGGCCUACCAAGGCGACGAUCCGUAGCUGGUCUGAGAGGAUGAUCAGCCACAUUGGGACUGAGACACGGCCCAAACUCCUACGGGAGGCAGCAGUGGGGAAUAUUGGACAAUGGGCGCAAGCCUGAUCCAGCCAUGCCGCGUGAGUGAUGAAGGCCCUAGGGUUGUAAAGCUCUUUCACCGGUGAAGAUAAUGACGGUAACCGGAGAAGAAGCCCCGGCUAACUUCGUGCCAGCAGCCGCGGUAA